GAUGAACGCUGGCGGCGUGCCUAAUACAUGCAAGUCGAGCGAACAGAUGAGGAGCUUGCUCCUCUGACGUUAGCGGCGGACGGGUGAGUAACACGUGGAUAACCUACCUAUAAGACUGGGAUAACUUCGGGAAACCGGAGCUACUACCGGAUAAUAUAUUGAACCGCAUGGUUCAAUAGUGAAAGACGGUUUUGCUGUCACUUAUAGAUGGCUCCGCGCAGCAUUAGCUAGUUGGUAAGGUAACGGCUUACCAAGGCAACGAUGCGUAGCCGACCUGAGAGGGUGAUCGGCCACACUGGAACUGAGACACGGUCCAGACUCCUACGGGAGGCAGCAGUAGGGAAUCUUCCGCAAUGGGCGAAAGCCUGACGGAGCAACGCCGCGUGAGUGAUGAAGGUCUUCGGAUCGUAAAACUCUGUUAUUAGGGAAGAACAAAUGUGUAAGUAACUAUGCACGUCUUGACGGUACCUAAUCAGAAAGCCACGGCUAACUACGUG
rnacentral:rRNA from 1 species